UACGAAGGGGGCUAGCGUUGCUCGGAAUCACUGGGCGUAAAGGGUGCGUAAGCGGGUCUUUAAGUCAGGGGUGAAAUCCUGGAGCUCAACUCCAGAACUGCCUUUGAUACUGAGGAUCUUGAGUUCGGGAGAGGUGAGUGGAACUGCGAGUGUAGAGGUGAAAUUCGUAGAUAUUCGCAAGAACACCAGUGGCGAAGGCGGCUCACUGGCCCGAUACUGACGCUGAGGCACGAAAGCGUGGGGAGCAAACAGG
rnacentral:rRNA from 1 species